CAGUCGCCACGGUAAUACGUAGGGUGCAAGCGUUAAUCGGAAUUACUGGGCGUAAAGCGUGCGCAGGCGGUUAUAUAAGACAGAUGUGAAAUCCCCGGGCUCAACCUGGGAACUGCAUUUGUGACUGUAUAGCUAGAGUACGGAAGAGGGGGAUGGAAUUCCGCGUGUAGCAGUGAAAUGCGUAGAUAUGCGGAGGAACACCGAUGGCGAAGGCAAUCCCCUGGGCCUGUACUGACGCUCAUGCACGAAAGCGUGGGGAGCAAACAGGAUUAGAUACCCGUGUAGUCCCUGUCUCUUAUAC
rnacentral:rRNA from 1 species